GUGUGUGUGCGUGUGCCUCUGUUUGUGUGCUCUACGUGCUCAUUUCUUUGUGCUUUGUGUCUGUACUCUGUACUGUGUGUCUUUGUUUGCCUUUGAGUCCUUGUGUGCAUGUUGUGUUUUGUAUGUGUUUCUAUGUGCGUGUAUCUGUCUUUUUUGUGUUCACAGGUGGCAGCCCUUCAGUUUGGGAACACUACUAAUAUUCUUGAGGCAUAUUCAUAUGGUUCAAGUGAGGAACAAGUAAGUCUUUGUAUGAUGGCAAAACUGAAUCCUAACAUACUCACAUCAUGUUUAUGUGGCAGGAAUUUUGCGAAUUAUCAAAUUGCUGUGAAAUCACAACGGAAAAGAUAACAAAGUUGUUAUUGCACGUAAUAUCAUGUAUGUUGUGGGACACUAUCCUCGGUUUUGAAGUGCUCAUUGGAAGUUUCUACAAACUGUUGUGAAUUA